ACUCCUACGGGAGGCAGCAGUGGGGAAUAUUGCGCAAUGGGGGAAACCCUGACGCAGCAACGCCGCGUGAAUGAAGAAGGCCUUAGGGUUGUAAAGUUCUGUUUUCUGGGACGAUAAUGACGGUACCAGAGGAGGAAGCCACGGCUAACUACGUGCCAGCAGCCGCGGUAAUACGUAGGUGGCAAGCGUUGUCCGGAUUUACUGGGCGUAAAGGAUGCGUAGGCGGAUGUUUAAGUGAGAUGUGAAAUACCCGAGCUCAACUUGGGUGCUGCAUUUCAAACUGGAUAUCUAGAGUGCAGGAGAGGAAAGCGGAAUUCCUAGUGUAGCGGUGAAAUGCGUAGAGAUUAGGAAGAACACCAGUGGCGAAGGCGGCUUUCUGGACUGUAACUGACGCUGAGGCAUGAAAGCGUGGGGAGCAAACAGGAUUAGAUACCCUGGUAGCGAG
rnacentral:rRNA from 1 species